GGAGUGUAGACAUGUAAAAGAGAGUUUAGGUAAGGAGGAGCCGUUUUUGUCGCUGUUUUGUAAGCCAGCUGCAAGGUUUCAAAUUUGAUUCAACAAUAACUGGGAGCCAGUGGAGGGAGAUGAACAAAAGAGUGACAUGUGCUCUUUUGGUUCACUCAGGUUUUGGUGCUGUGCAGUGUAUGAAGAUGUGGACUCUCGCUGCAGACCGCUGGAUCUGUCUGCUCGCUCUGGCUGCAGUGAUGCUCGUCUCUGCAGAUGCUUUUGUGGCUGUACCCUGCUGUAAAUGC